rnacentral:rRNA from 1 species
GACGAACGCUGGCGGCGUGCUUAACACAUGCAAGUCGAACGGAAAGGCCCUGCUUUUGUGGGGUGCUCGAGUGGCGAACGGGUGAGUAACACGUGAGUAACCUGCCCUUGACUUUGGGAUAACUUCAGGAAACUGGGGCUAAUACCGGAUAGGAGCUCCUGCUGCAUGGUGGGGGUUGGAAAGUUUCGGCGGUUGGGGAUGGACUCGCGGCUUAUCAGCUUGUUGGUGGGGUAGUGGCUUACCAAGGCUUUGACGGGUAGCCGGCCUGAGAGGGUGACCGGCCACAUUGGGACUGAGAUACGGCCCAGACUCCUACGGGAGGCAGCAGUGGGGAAUAUUGCACAAUGGGCGGAAGCCUGAUGCAGCAACGCCACGUGCGGGAUGACGGCCUUCGGGUUGUAAACCGCUUUCGCCUGUGAUGAAGCGUGAGUGACGGUAAUGGGUAAAGAAGCACCGGCUAACUACGUG